GCCAGACUCCUACGGGAGGCAGUAGUGAGGAAUAUUGGUCAAUGGGCGAGAGCCUGAACCAGCCAAGUCGCGUGAGGGAGUACUGCCCUAUGGGUUGUAAACCUCUUUUGUCGGGGAGCAAAAGCCGGACGUGUCCGGCUGUGAGAGUACCCGAAGAAAAAGCAUCGGCUAACUCCGUGCCAGCAGCCGCGGUAAUACGGAGGGUGCGAGCGUUAAUCGGAAUUACUGGGCGUAAAGCGCACGUAGGCUGUAUGACAAGUCAAGGGUGAAAUGCCACGGCUCAACCGUGGAACUGCCUUUGAAACUGUCAAACUGGAGUAUGUGAGAGGGCGGCGGAAUUCCUGGUGUAGGAGUGAAAUCCGUAGAUAUCAGGAGGAACAUCAGUGGCGAAGGCGGCCGCCUGGCACAAAACUGACGCUGAGGUGCGAAAGCGUGGGUAGCAAACAGGAUUAGAUACCCCUGUAUG
rnacentral:rRNA from 1 species